rnacentral:lncRNA from 1 species
GUUUGGAGGCAGCUCCACUUGUCUCUGACUCCACAGCUAUCUUCCAUCUCUAUCAGUAACCCUGUCUUUCUGUGUCCUUGUCACUGUCACUCUUGUGAUGGCUCAUCAAAUUUUUGAUUUUUCUUCUCAGGUAUUUCGUCCUGAAGUCUCCAAGUGUUCACCGAUCUUUCUGCAGAGGGUCAUGUUCUUGGUUUGAGGUAGGUGUUGAUUCUCUUUUUGUAUCCUUUUCUUUCUUUUUUAGGAAAACUUCCUGCUCCCCUACAGUCAGGAGGGUCCUCCAGAAGCAGGCAACUCAGGCACACUUGUGUAAGGUGUCCGGGCAGUGAAUUUAGUUUUAAACCAAAUAUUUGUAAGUGGAAAGAUCUUUACUCCUCUCCAUACUUUAAAGACUAAAUUCUUUAAAGAAUAGAUUUAACACUUUAAAGACUAGAUUCUUCUUCUUUGAAGUUCCCCCUGUCCAUCCUCAGUCAAGGUACUUUUCUCAGAGUACCUACUUCACUUUGUUUCUAUAACGGCUGCUUUUCCACUAGAUCUGCGGGAUAAACUAGGCCUCUUGUUCAUAUGAACUGUCCAAACCUAGAUUAGUGGCCCUUGUGCACAAUGAGGGUGCAAGAUAUUGGAUAAGUGAAUGUAAUUGAUUUAGAACAGAGCGCUUUUUCCAUUCCCAGACAGAGGCCCAGCACAGUUGGGUUGCUCUCUAUAGGAAGCAGGAGAGGUACUUGGGGGGAAAGGUGUAUAAUAUUCAGUUUGGAGGCUGAGAAGUGUUUUUAUUUCAGUGCUAGUGGGGGUACAAUGAGCCUACAAAAGGCUGCAAUUCUAGGAGAACUCCGAAUUUCAUCCUUAAGUGAAGUCUGUCCUAAAUUACUUAAAACUCCCUCUACCCCUAAUAGCCUCCUCCUUUCAGCUGGGUCCCGCCUCUUUAUACAGCCUUAUGGUCCUUAUACCAGCCGGUGCCUCAUUCCCGCAUCACUUCCCACACUCCCAGGCCAGUUCCCCUCCCCCUUUCACUCCUAGUCUUUCCGGGAGCCUCGUGCCGGGGUCUUUCCCGGGUGGGAUCUAGGUGCUGAAGGGGGCGGGGCCGUAUUCUAUCCCUCCUACCCGGGCUCUGCGGGAUAUAAGAAUCCAGACAAGCAAAGACCUGGUCCGCGCCAGGGUCCGGAGGAGCAAUGGUCACCCGGGAUCGAGCAGAGAAUAGGGACGGGCCCAAGGUGAGAGGCGGGAGGGGUGGGAGCAGAGGUCCUUGGUCCGGCCGGGGAACCUGGGCACUGACACAGUGGGUCGGUGGUGAGGCCGGGACACAGGGCUGAAAUAGGAGAGGUGUCCAAGGGACCCAGGGAACCAGGAACUGGAAAGGAAGCUGCAAAGUGUGAAGGAGGUAGUGUCUGAGUAGGACCUGCGUGGGCGGCGGAAGGAGAGUUUUUGGGGUCUGGAUAACCUGGUCAUUCAGCACCUUACGGCCUAAGGGAGUGGGAGGGGGCUAGAAUUUCAAUAAAACCAAGAGGAUACAGUCAAGGGCUGAGGGUAGGAACAAAAAGAGAAGAGGAUGGGCAUUCUCCACUUAGGCCGCGAGCCAGGACUGGCCCAAGGCGGUCUUGGAGAGAAAGCCCUGGGUUUUUGUUCCAGAGGUUCGAGAUCCGGUUGAAGAUUUUAGGGUGAGCAAGUGGAGAAGGGUGAC